ACUGAACUAACGAUCCUAAACUCGAUGCGGGCAAUUGUGCUGAUAAACCGGAUAAAACAAACAUUGGCGUUUUAUUUCCACUCUACCCACCUGUAUAAAGCAGGUAAAAGAGGAACAAUGAGGAAAUGGCGCGUCUCGUUUGAGGAAGCAGCGGGUGCGGGUGCUCUCCCACCGCUCCCCGGAGCAACUAGAGCGAACACAAACGUUCCUCCCCCCUCCCCGCGAACCACAUAAAUACAUUAUCGGAAUAAUAACUCAUAUUACAUAUCUUAUUCUUUUGUUUGGCAGACUAGACGCAUUGACGGCGUAUCGCUGCCUCAUAUUACACAUUUAUGUGGUCAUCUUAUUUUUAGGUGCGCCACAAUAUCAUUGGCUUAUGCAUUGAAACGCCAGCCCCUCUGCGGACUGCGAAAUCCAAGAUGGCUGCUCCGUGUGUCAACACCGUCAUUUCAAUACCAUCAUCGCAGCCCACUUCCAACCCUGCACCACCUCAGCUCCGGAUGCCUGGUCAUGUCCCAUCAAAUCGACCAACCAGAAGCCCUUGAUGAGACGUCCCAACUUCCUGCUCCAUUCCUCUUCACCACCACCGCCAGUGUCUUGGCUCCGGGGAAAGUCUCCUUUGUAUCUGAAGCACCUAAUUCAUGGGAUCACCUCCGUGGUGGUCUACCUCCUGUCGAGGUCUAAGCACCAAAGUCUAUUCCUCCUGUUACACAAUAAAUGGAAUUUUAUUAUUAUUUACAUUAGUUUCUCAAUAAGUCUCUCCUGAUUGAAAUAUCACGAGACAGAACCAGGCCCAGACAUAUUUUCAAUCAGUUAUCAAACUAAUUGAUUAAACUCAUCUUUUUCUAUUGGGGUUGUGGGAGAAUCACUAACAGGAAAAUGGACAUGUGCUCAUCUAGGCUGCAUUCAUGACUUGACAGUCAGUCCUCACCGCCCUCUCUGCCCAGUCUCUCGCCGGGGACCCAGACGAAUUCUGGGAGCUAAUUUCAUUUGCUCUGCCGGACUACGCCUGGAUCUCCUCCAUUGGACAGUGAUUUUCAAGCGACAGAAAUCUUUCCAGUGCAUUCGCAACCGAUUAUCUGAUAAUGGGCGGGGCUUAUGCCGUGACGCGGAGAGGAGCGACUUUUGUAAACAACCAAGGUGGCUGCCGCUGACGAACGAGCAUUUGACUAAAAGUGCGCGAUAUUUUUUCUACAAAGAAGGCGACACCUGUUCACAGACGUUCUGGAAUCACCAUCACAGGCAUCUCCUCUCUGCAGGCUUUAGUCUGUUGACGUCAUUUUGGUCUGCGUCCGUUGGCAACGCCUCUUGGAAAUCAAAAGCUCAAAUUAGUGUGAUACUGUGAUUAUUGAUUUUCGGUACUAAAUUAGAAAGUCUGCACAUUAACACAAAAAAAAAAAAAUGUGAAUAAAAUAUCAACCUUUUGGCAA